ensembl:snoRNA SNORA62 Small nucleolar RNA SNORA62/SNORA6 family
UUUUCAAACCAAACAACUUAGUACAUGUAUGGCUUGCCUGUGGGCUCACGAGUGUGGGUAGUGUGGCUACAUGAGGGGUGGGUCUGCGGCUAAGACCAUACGAGUCUCUGGUCCAAUGAAUGGAGUUUGAUAGUAACUCUUGCUAAAAUU